rnacentral:rRNA from 1 species
CUCGCCGCGUGCUAUACUGCAGUAGAACGCUGAAGAGAGGAGCUUGCUCUUCUUGGAUGAGUUGCGAACGGGUGAGUAACGCGUAGGUAACCUGCCUUGUAGCGGGGGAUAACUAUUGGAAACGAUAGCUAAUACCGCAUAACAAUGGAUGACACAUGUCAUUUAUUUGAAAGGGGCAAUUGCUCCACUACAAGAUGGACCUGCGUUGUAUUAGCUAGUAGGUGAGGUAAUGGCUCACCUAGGCGACGAUACAUAGCCGACCUGAGAGGGUGAUCGGCCACACUGGGACUGAGACACGGCCCAGACUCCUACGGGAGGCAGCAGUAGGGAAUCUUCGGCAAUGGGGGCAACCCUGACCGAGCAACGCCGCGUGAGUGAAGAAGGUUUUCGGAUCGUAAAGCUCUGUUGUAAGUCAAGAACGGGUGUGAGAGUGGAAAGUUCACACUGUGACGGUAGCUUACCAGAAAGGGACGGCUAACUACGUGCCAGCAGCCGCGGUAAUACGUAGGUCCCGAGCGUUGUCCGGAUUUAUUGGGCGUAAAGCGAGCGCAGGCGGUUUGAUAAGUCUGAAGUUAAAGGCUGUGGCUCAACCAUAGUUCGCUUUGGAAACUGUCAAACUUGAGUGCAGAAGGGGAGAGUGGAAUUCCAUGUGUAGCGGUGAAAUGCGUAGAUAUAUGGAGGAACACCGGUGGCGAAAGCGGCUCUCUGGUCUGUAACUGACGCUGAGGCUCGAAAGCGUGGGGAGCGAACAGGAUUAGAUACCCUGGUAGUCCACGCCGUAAACGAUGAGUGCUAGGUGUUGGAUCCUUUCCGGGAUUCAGUGCCGCAGCUAACGCAUUAAGCACUCCGCCUGGGGAGUACGACCGCAAGGUUGAAACUCAAAGGAAUUGACGGGGGCCCGCACAAGCGGUGGAGCAUGUGGUUUAAUUCGAAGCAACGCGAAGAACCUUACCAGGUCUUGACAUCCCGAUGCUAUUUCUAGAGAUAGAAAGUUACUUCGGUACAUCGGUGACAGGUGGUGCAUGGUUGUCGUCAGCUCGUGUCGUGAGAUGUUGGGUUAAGUCCCGCAACGAGCGCAACCCCUAUUGUUAGUUGCCAUCAUUCAGUUGGGCACUCUAGCGAGACUGCCGGUAAUAAACCGGAGGAAGGUGGGGAUGACGUCAAAUCAUCAUGCCCCUUAUGACCUGGGCUACACACGUGCUACAAUGGUUGGUACAACGAGUUGCGAGUCGGUGACGGCGAGCUAAUCUCUUAAAGCCAAUCUCAGUUCGGAUUGUAGGCUGCAACUCGCCUACAUGAAGUCGGAAUCGCUAGUAAUCGCGGAUCAGCACGCCGCGGUGAAUACGUUCCCGGGCCUUGUACACACCGCCCGUCACACCACGAGAGUUUGUAACACCCGAAGUCGGUGAGGUAACCUUUGGAGCCAGCCGCCUAAGUGACGGGAAAA